rnacentral:rRNA from 1 species
UACAGAGGUCUCAAGCGUUGUUCGGAUUCAUUGGGCGUAAAGGGUGCGUAGGUGGCGGGGCAAGUUUGGUGUGAAAUCCCGGGGCCCAACCCUGGAACUGCACUGAAUACUGCUUUGCUAGAGUACUGGAGAGGGAACUGGAAUUUACGGUGUAGCAGUGAAAUGCGUAGAUAUCGUAAGGAAGACCAGUGGCGAAGGCGAGUUCCUGGACAGUUACUGACACUGAGGCACGAAGGCCAGGGGAGCAAACGGG